AAAAAGAAAGAAUGACCAAAACAGAAAGAAAAGAGCUCAUACAAAAACUUACAAGGCAUACCUAAGCUAAAUCUUCUAGUUAAACACAUCAAGCUCGAGAGAAGAUUCAUGGAAAAGAUUUGAUUGAAACAUGCUCAUAAAACUCCCUUCCAUAGGCUGCAAAAAUCCAUCAAAAGGCUGGAAAAUAGAAUCAGAACCUGCAGGAGACGAUGAUGACUCAUUGUAAGAGUUCAUCAAAGGUACUAAAGAUCCGGCAGACCCAUCAACAGUUCUUCGUUCAAG
rnacentral:misc_RNA from 1 species